AUGGCGAACCGCGUCGGCGAGUCGUCGUCCUCGUCGUCGAGCGCCAGCGGCGCCGGGAAGGACUCGGGCAGCUUCGAGUGCAACAUCUGCCUCGAGCUGGCCCAGGACCCCGUGGUGACCCUGUGCGGCCACCUCUUCUGCUGGCCGUGCCUCUACGAGUGGCUCCACGUCCACGCGCACUUCCCCGAGUGCCCCGUUUGCAAGGCCAAUGUCGAGGAGGACAGGCUCGUCCCCAUCUACGGCCGUGGCAAGACCUCCGCCGAACCGCGGCCGAGCUCGUCUGAGGGGCCGCAGAUCCCGAGCAGACCGUCCGGGCAGCGGCGCGCCACUGCUCCGCCGCCUGAUCACCGUGACCAUUACCCGCACCCGAACCAAAACCCGUGGUUCCCUGGUGCAGGCGCCAUGGCCGGCGGUCGGUGGGGGAAUUACACAUUCUCCGCCGCGAUCGGGGGGCUGUUCCCUCUGCUGAACUUCCAGGUGCACGGGUUCCCGCCGGCGUAUGGACCCGCUGCCGGGAUUCCUUACGGGUACGGGCAUGACUUCCAUGGGUGGCACGGGCAUGGCUUCCCGCCCCAGGCGCCGCAGGGCCAGCAGGUCGAUGUCUACUUGAAGAUGCUGCUGGUCCUCGUCGGUGUGCUUGUCAUCGCUAGCUUAAUUGCAUUUUAG
rnacentral:rRNA from 1 species